UAUUAACAGGGUCUUAAUUUUACAUUGCUCUGAAACAAUGUGCUGAUUCUCUAAAACCUAGCUUGUACAAUCAAACUUUUGACUGCUCUCCUGGAAGCUUAGAUUUGUAUCAGCCAUCUAUCCUGUGUUUGCAGAAGUCUUACAGAUACAAUUCAUUUAGCAGGAAGCAAUAGACCACAGAAAAUGGCGACCUCCUUUGAUUUUACUGCAGAUCUGGCCACAGGAAAUGUUGCACAUUUGGAUCAAGCAGGAUAAACAGUUCCCAGCCCUAGAUAAGAUCCUGAGGCUUUUUUUUACUGGAAACAGAAUUAAGAACAACACAUGCAAUUAGCACGAGCUGAGAAUCUCUGACUAGGCUCCCAGCAGAUCCAUCAACGUAUAGCAAAAAGCUACUCAGCUACCAAAUUGAUCACUGAUACUGAGAUGAAUAGACUAAAUAUAAACCACUUGAAUGAUUCCUUCCUCAGAGCAUUCAUGAGCCUCCCAUCCAGGAUCUGUGUUUGUCUUGCUUGGACUUAGGUCUUUUGGUCAAGUAUGUUCUGUCUUUUGUACCUGUACUCUGGCAAAUACACUUUGGCCAGUGUUCAUAACAGGUGCUUCAACUGCUCGGUAUAUGACGUAUGUCUUCAUAUGUGUUUGGAAAUGACUAGAAACAAAAGCUCGUGAGGACUGGAUCCAGCAAAGGACUUAUUUGCUGCCAUGCUAAUUAUGACCCUUAAAUGCACUGUAGGCAGCUGCUGAAUUAUAAAGAAUAAUACCCAGAGAAAGGAAAGUGAUGUGCACAAACCCAUGUAUUUUGGCUGCUGAGAAUUUACUUAUCCAUACAGUGCAUUCUCUGAGACUGCUAAAGUAUUAAUAAAAAAACAAUUAUUUGCAUUUAAUUAUUUGCAAAAUAAAUUACUUGCAUUUUCACAGACCUGCAUUUUGCACAUUGGCUUCUAUUCCAUCCAGGAGAACACAAAACAACAGGAGCAGAUUCUCCCUAUGCUGUUAAUGCCCAAAAGCUUGCAAAGAACAAUUUUUCCAACUAUUUAGUUAGUCUAAUAAAAGAAAUCACAUUUACCCAGAGUACUUUGUCUACAAAAGUAUUAAUGACUGAUUCACCAAUGAACCGUCAAGGCCAUCUAAACAAACACAGAGGGACUUGGAUUAUUAUCUUUUUCUAGGGGUGCACCAAUAGAG